rnacentral:rRNA from 1 species
AUUGAACGCUGGCGGCAUGCCUUACACAUGCAAGUCGAACGGUAACAGGUCUUCGGAUGCUGACGAGUGGCGAACGGGUGAGUAAUACAUCGGAACGUGCCCAGUCGUGGGGGAUAACUACGCGAAAGCGUAGCUAAUACCGCAUACGAUCUAUGGAUGAAAGCGGGGGAUCGCAAGACCUCGCGCGAUUGGAGCGGCCGAUGGCAGAUUAGGUAGUUGGUGGGGUAAAGGCUCACCAAGCCGACGAUCUGUAGCUGGUCUGAGAGGACGACCAGCCACACUGGGACUGAGACACGGCCCAGACUCCUACGGGAGGCAGCAGUGGGGAAUUUUGGACAAUGGGCGCAAGCCUGAUCCAGCCAUGCCGCGUGCAGGAUGAAGGCCUUCGGGUUGUAAACUGCUUUUGUACGGAACGAAAAGUCUCUUUCUAAUAAAGAGGGAUCAUGACGGUACCGUAAGAAUAAGCACCGGCUAACUACGUGCCAGCCGCCGCCGUAACAC